rnacentral:rRNA from 1 species
UAAGCAUAUAACUAAGCGGAGGAAAAGAAACUAACAAGGAUUCCCCUAGUAGCGGCGAGCGAAGCGGGAAGAGCCCGGGAUGAAAAUCUCUUUGGAGAAUUGUAGUCUGAGCUCCCUUGGGCGGUCAGUGUGGGUAAAUCGUCUGGGAUGACGUGCCAUGGAGGGUGAGAGCCCCGUCCACCCCACACAGGACCCGCCCGCACGAGGGCGCUUCAACCGAGUCGGGUAGCUUGGGAAUGCUGCUCUAAUUGGUGGUAAAUCUCAUCAAAGGCUAAAUAACGGUGGGAGACCGAUAGCGAACAAGUACCGUGAGGGAAAGAUGGAAAGAACUUUGAAAAGAGAGUGAAAAGCGCUUGAAACCGUCACGGGGGAAGCGAAUUGCGUGAGUGAUGGUGUGCACUGUUCAGCUCGAUCAUACCGAGUGUAUUCUGUGCGCGCCGGGCGUGUGUGGCUGGGGUGCGUGCGACUUUGGCACGCGUUCCUGGUGAGGGCUCCCUGCCAGUCAGGUGAGGACACACGCAAAAUGACGCAAUACGACCCGUCUUGAAACACGGACCAAGGAGUCUAGCACGGCUGCGAGUCGAAGGGUGUGAAAACCCAGAGGGCGCAGUGAAAGCGAAAGAAAGCAAAUUGGGGAGGCGUUGCGGUUUUACCAAAAUGUCCUACCUCGAGCACCUGUGCUGGGACCCGAAAGAUGGUGAACUAUGCCGGAGUAGGGCAAAGCCAGAGGAAACUCUGGUGGAGGCUCGUAGCGAUGCUGACGUGCAAAUCGCUCGUCGAACUUGGGUAUAGGGGCGAAAGACUAAUCGAACCAUCUAGUAGCUGGUUCCCUCCGAAGUUUCUCUCAGGAUAGCGGGCCGACGACAUGUUGUUUUGUGCGGUAAAGCGAAUGAUUAGUGCAUUUGGGGGCCGAAGGCCUUCAGGCGAUUCUCAAACUUUAAAUGCGCAAGGGGGUGGCUGCUUAAUUGAGCCUACUCUUCGAAAAACGUCGGCCCUGUGGGCCACUUUUGGUAAGCAGAACUGGCGAUAAGGGAUGAACCUUAAGCGCGGUUAAGGCGCCGCAUUGCCCGCUUAUAGACCCCACAAAAGGUGUUGAUUC